GUACUUAGCUGGCAGGAGAGAUACCAUGAUUGUAGAGGUAGUUUUCCUAGUGCAGGGCUUAUCCUUUGCACUCAGGAUAUGCUGACCCUUGUAAUUUCCUCAAACGUGGGAAACCUGACUGCAUAAUUUGUGGUAGUGGGAGACUGGGGGAAACAUUUUUUUU